rnacentral:pre_miRNA from 14 species
CUCCAGAGACGAGGGUGGUCGCCUACCCCGGACGAGCCCCCAAAUGAAAGACCUCCAGAGCAGGGAGACCCUCACUCAAGUCUCGGAUUGAUGCAACCCCCCCUCCCCCCAAGAACUC